rnacentral:lncRNA from 1 species
CCACACCAGUCCAAGGCUAAGCCCUUCUGGUUUUCCGCGCUCACCACCGUGCGCUCUGGGGCUGUCAGCCGCCCGGACUGCAGGACCCUCCGAGCAUCGGGAACAAUGGACAGGGGCUGUCUAGGAGCAAGGCGAGGCUAUCGAACCGGACCAGACCACGCAGCGCUUGCAUGGAGGAGAAAUGGUCCAGACAGUUCUCCAAGGAACCCCUUCCCCGCUCGGAACAGUUCUUGCAUUUUCUCAAGUGUACACCGAACCCCAAAAGGUAGUACGUGGCAGACAGGGAAUGUGACGACUAUUUUUGCUGGUAGGGAAAAAUAACAUUUUGGGGUAGGCAGUACUGUACUGUUUCAGCCCAUUCACUCUACAAAUUAACUCAAAGCGAUUGUGGAAACAUUAUCUCUCGAAGUUUCAGUAGAAUCACGGAAAUGGAUCUUGCUUUAUUAAAUGCUUUUCGCUCCUUUCCCCCAAUCCUUACAAAAUAUUAAAUGACCUUUCAAUUUUAAUAAGUAGCACUAUUUAAACUAGUCACUUUAAAAAACUGAAAGGCGUGCAAUCUCGCUCCACCACUGAGUAGACAAGUUUUAAAGAUUCUUUGUCCUGGAGGAACACACAGUGGGCUUCUGCUGUUCUCACAGUAGCCCAGCGCGUCCACACCCGGUUUUCCAUCUCCAAGAGUCGCCAGGCCCACCCGCUACAGCGCACCACCUGCUCCCGCGGUUCUCACGCACGGCCCGCGACUCUCCCUCCGCUCUCGCCCCUUCGCUUCUCCCGCUCGGGCAAAGCUGUGGAGCCGGAGCGGCGGCCCGCUACGCAGCCAGCCCCUCGGCCCGCGGGCGCUCAGCUUCACCGCGACUGCCGGGAGGCGCCUCCGACGCAGCUCUCCCUCCCGUGCCCGCCCCCGGCGAGGAUCUAAGGGGGCGGGCCCUGGGUUCCCGGCGCUGAUUGGCU